GGUUGAAACACCGGUUCUGCUACGAUCACCGUAGUUAAGCAACGUCGAGCCUGGUCAUUACCUAGAUGGGUGAUCGCUUGGGAAUACCAGGUGCUGUAAG
rnacentral:rRNA from 1 species